rnacentral:rRNA from 1 species
UAGUUAGUGGCGCACGGGUGCGUAACGCGUGGGAAUCUGCCCCUUGGUUCGGAAUAACAGUUGGAAACGACUGCUAAUACCGGAUGAUGACGUAAGUCCAAAGAUUUAUCGCCGAGGGAUGAGCCCGCGUAGGAUUAGGUAGUUGGUGUGGUAAAGGCGACCAAGCCGACGAUCCUUAGCUGGUCUGAGAGGGUGAUCAGCCACACUGGGACUGAGACACGGCCCAGACUCCUACGGGAGGCAGCAGUGGGGAAUAUUGGACAAUGGGCGAAAGCCUGAUCCAGCAAUGCCGCGUGAGUGAUGAAGGCCUUAGGGUUGUAAAGCUCUUUUACCCGGGAUGAUAAUGACAGUACCGGGAGAAUAAGCUCCGGCUAACUCCGUGCCAGCAGCCGCGGUAAUACGGAGGGAGCUAGCGUUAUUCGGAAUUACUGGGCGUAAAGCGCACGUAGGCGGCUUUGUAAGUAAGAGGUGAAAGCCCAGAGCUCAACUCUGGAAUUGCCUUUUAGACUGCAUCGCUUGAAUCAUGGAGAGGUCAGUGGAAUUCCGAGUGUAGAGGUGAAA